CUGACCGUGCAAAGGUAGCGUAAUCACUUGUCUUUUAAAUGAAGACCUGUAUGAAUGGUAUUACGAGGGCUUAACUGUCUCCUUUUUCAGGUCAGUGAAAUUGAUCUCCCCGUGCAGAAGCGGGGAUAAGACCAUAAGACGAGAAGACCCUAUGGAGCUUUAAGACACUAAGCCAUAUCAAGUUAAAUACCCCCUAACAAGGGGCCAAACUUAUUGAAAUCAUUGGCCGUAUGUCUUCGGUUGGGGCGACCAUGGGGAAACAAAAAACCCCCACGUGGAAUGGGAGCACAUUUACUCCUACAGUCAAGAGCCGCCACUCUAACAAACAGAAUUUCUGACCAAUAACUGAUCCGGCAACGCCGAUCAACGGACCAAGUUACCCUAGGGAUAACAGCGCAAUCCCCUUUUAGAGCCCCUAUCGACAAGGGGGUUUACGACCUCGAUGUUGGAUCAGGACAUCCUAAUGGUGCAGCCGCUAUUGAGGGUUCGUUGUUCAACGAUUAAAGUCCUACGUGAUCUGAGUUCAGACCGGAG
rnacentral:rRNA from 1 species